rnacentral:lncRNA from 1 species
CCACCUUGGGAAAAGUCUUCUAAGAUGAGAUGGCAAGAAUCAAACAGAGACGUGCUUUGAACACUGGGACGGGGACCAGAUUUAAAUUGGGCAAAAGCCGGGAGCUCAGAGCUCGUGCAAUUCACUUCCUGCCAUCCCUCCCCCUCUCUGCAGCUGGUUGCUGGGAGCAGGGUUGGAAGAGCUGAUUCAUCUAUGCAUUCAUUUGCUA